AGAAGUGAAGAUCCCAUGAUGAAAGUCCUACCCACUGGCCAUGAUGCUACUCGGGCGUCUGCCAUGGUACUCAACGCCCUAAACUCCCCGAACCUAAACGGGUCUCUGGGAAGGUCAAGGACUUUCUCCCAUGUCCUGGCCAUUCUACCUGGUAUAAACUGGGGUCCAAAUGUGUUAAGCACUUCAAGGAAGAAUUGGACUUUCAAUCUGCUGAGGAUUUCUGCCACUCUCAAAAGGACAAAUCUCAUCUGAUAUCAAUCCACUCCAGCCAGGAGAACGAGGAUGUGGAUGUUUUUGCUCAGAGGUUCAGCAGAUAUUCCCCGCGCAUCUGGCUUGGCAGUUUUACAGUAUCCAACCCUCUUCAGCCUCACCGCUACCUCUGGACUGAUGGGUCCCCCAUGGACUACUAUUCCUGGCUUCAGAACCCCAAGCAGCCAUCCGGUGACGGACAGUGCAUGGAAAUGAACUGGCAGCGAAAAGGGGAUUGGAAUGAUAAGCCGUGCAGCCAAACCAAUUACUUUCUGUGUGCCUUCAUACCUGGUGGAAGAGAGGAAAUGAAAGGAGGAGAAGAAGAAGAGUGGAUGGUGGAAAAAGGGAGUCAGAGGAUUAUGAUUUAAAGUAGAUGACAGAUGAGCAGUAUAGCAGUAUAUACAACCUGUCAGAUAUGCUUUGCAUUACAGCUUUCUCAGACAUCAUGACACCAGGACCCUGUAAAAUGUUAUAGAAAACCCACUGCUCAAAGACUAAGCCUUUGUCAGCUAAAAGUUUUCACCAUCACAGUCAGUUUCAGUCCGCCCAAAGUAAGAUUUAAUGAAACAACUGAUUGUAUUAGAAACCUCUAAACACAUUGCAUUUGAGAAUUCUAUCUAGGCCUAUUGUCAGAAAAUAGUGUAACCUAAUCUAUUUUCAGGGGGAAUGGUGUUGAUAAAAUACUGCUUCACUUGUUUGUACUAUGAAACACUGUGCAUUGCUUGCCUAGCAAAUAAAAAAGGAAUACAAAAAUAUCUUCAUUAAUCA